CUUGAGUGAGGAAAAAAAAAAAGUUACUUCCUGUUCCUAAACUGGAAAGGAAGCAGCAGCUACUGUUUGUUAGCUGGACCUAACCAGUUUUAGAAGUUUGGAGGUUCUGGUGCACUGGAGACCAUCUUGAAGGUGAUUUGGCUUUCCCUGCUGCGUUCUAACAACUUGGCUAAGCCAGAUACCUGCUCUUUCCCAGACUGUGGCAUCAGGAGAGAAAGAAGAAGGGGAGCUCACACCUGUGAGUGUGAUUGCUGAGGGAGUUGUCAGCUGUGAUCACUACCAAGAGAGUGAAGUCCCUGGCUGCUACCAUAGAGGGAGAAUCCCAUGAAACCUACUAAGAUGUAGAUCAUUAUAAAUGGAGUAUGGAGCAACGCAAAUUAGACUCUGGAAGAACUAAGAUGUAAGUAACCAACUGUCCAAUUUACCAAAUUAUAUUUGUUUUAAAAAUUAGUAAUGCUCAACAACAAUUUUUAGGAAACAUACAAUAAGCAAAAGUAGCCUCAUAUAGGUUGAUCCUACUUGACUAAAUGGGAAUUUUGCAAAAGACUUAAAAUUCAUUAGAAUUAUUAUUAUUAUGUGUAAUGAAGGAGAAGAGAUGGUGGAGAGAAAGAGGAAAUAGGGGUGAGAGAGUGAAA
rnacentral:lncRNA from 1 species